rnacentral:rRNA from 1 species
ACGACGCUGGCGGCGUGCCUAACACAUGCAAGUCGAACGGGGUAUUGAGAGCUUGCUCUUAAUACUUAGUGGCAACGGGUGAGUAACGCGUGAGAAACCUGCCUCUCAGUGGGGGGACAACAGUUGGAAACGACUGCUAAUACCGCAUAACAUAUCCGGAGGGCAUCCUCUGGAUAUCAAAGCUUUAUGUGCUGAGAGAUGGUCUCGCGUCUGAUUAGCUAGAUGGCGGGUAACGGCCACCAUGGCGACGAUCAGUAGCCGGUCUGAGAGGAUGAACGGCCACAUUGGGACUGAGAUACGGCCCAGACUCCUACGGGAGGCAGCAGUGGGGAAUAUUGGGCAAUGGGGGAAACCCUGACCCAGCAACGCCGCGUGAAGGAAGAAGGCUUUCGGGUUGUAAACUUCUUUUACCAGGGACGAAGAACGUGACGGUACCUGGAGAAAAAGCAACGGCUAACUACGUG